rnacentral:rRNA from 1 species
UACGUAGGGGGCUAGCGUUGUCCGGAUUUAUUGGGCGUAAAGAGCGUGUAGGCGGCCAGGUAGGUCUGCUGUGAAAACUCGAGGCUCAACCUCGAGAUGUCGGCGGAAACCAUCUGGCUAGAGUCCGGAAGAGGAGAGUGGAAUUCCUGGUGUAGCGGUGAAAUGCGCAGAUAUCAGGAAGAACACCCGUGGCGAAGGCGGCUCUCUGGGACGGCACUGACGCUGAGACGCGAAAGCGUGGGGAGCGAACAGG